rnacentral:rRNA from 1 species
UAGGGAAUCUUCCACAAUGGACGAAAGUCUGAUGGAGCAACGCCGCGUGAGUGAAGAAGGGUUUCGGCUGUAAAGCUCUGUUGGUAGUGAAGAAAGAUAGAGGUAGUAACUGGCCUUUAUUUGACGGUAAUUACUUAGAAAGUCACGGCUAACUACGUGCCAGCAGCC